UACGUAGGGGGCAAGCGUUAUCCGGAAUCAUUGGGCGUAAAGCGCGUGUAGGCGGUUCCGUAAGUCCGCUCUGAAAGCCCAGGGCUCAACCCUGGGAGGCGGGUGGAUACUACGGAACUGGAGUACGGAAGAGGAGAUUGGAAUUCCUGGUGUAGCGGUGAAAUGCGCAGAUAUCAGGAGGAACACCGGUGGCGAAGGCGGGUCUCUGGGCCGAAACUGACGCUGAGGAGCGAAAGCGUGGGGAGCGAACAGG
rnacentral:rRNA from 1 species